rnacentral:rRNA from 1 species
GAUGAACGCUAGCGGCAGGCCUAAUACAUGCAAGCCCAGGGCUGUUUGGUGUAGCAAUACCUCAAACCACUGGCGGCCGGGUGCGUAACGCGUAUGCAACCUACCCUAUACAGGAGUAUAGCCCUCGGAAACGAGGAUUACUACUCCCUAAGAUUGCUUAGAGCCAUCUUUAUGCAAUUAAAGCCGCAAUUCGGUAUAGGAUGGGCGUGCGUCCGAUUCGCUAUUUGGUGAGGUAACGGCUCACCAAGGCGAUGAUCGUUAGUGGUUCUGAGAGGAAGAUCCCCCAGAAGGGAGCUGAGACACGGGCUCGAAGCCGACGGGGGGGAGGAGUAAGGAAUAUUAGACAAGGGGGGAAAGCCUGAUCCAGCCAUGCGGGGUGCAGGAAGAAGGGGAUAGGGGUUGUAAACUGUUUUGGAGAGAGAGAAAUAAGAGCGAUGCGGCGCGCGAUGAUAGUACUUAACGAAUAAGCAUCGGCUAACUUCGUG